GACGAAGGGGGCUAGCGUUGUUCGGAAUUACUGGGCGUAAAGCGCGCGUAGGCGGUUCUUCAAGUCAGGCGUGAAAGCCCCGGGCUUAACCCGGGAAUAGCGCUUGAUACUGUGGGACUUGAGUCCGGGAGAGGACUAGUGGAAUUCCCAGUGUAGAGGUGAAAUUCGUAGAUAUUGGGAAGAACACCAGUGGCGAAGGCGGCUAUCUGGACCGGUACUGACGCUGAGGCGCGAAAGCGUGGGGAGCAAACAGG
rnacentral:rRNA from 1 species